UCAAGUACUAUUUUCUUCAUUGAAAGAGCUUUAUUGUAAAAAAAGAAAAAUCCAGUUGAACUGAAAAAUCCAGUAUGCUUAGAAAAAAGUAAAACAUAUGAAUUCCGUAAAGGCUAAUAAUUAAAGAUUAUUUUCUUUUGCAGGAGGUAAUGUGGAAGAUGAUUAUAAGCAAGUGUCCAUGGAGGUUCAUGUACACAGAGGAGGUUUGAAUCCUGGAAUGAACUCAGUGUUCCUGAAAGGUAAGCAACCAGUUUGAUUCUGACUUUAAGGAUGGAAUUGGAAAGUCUUGCUUAUUUGCGUAAUACAUUGGGCAUUUCAUUGUUCUUAAUAUUGCCUUUAAAGGAAAAAAUUCAACAUGUCUUUCCAUGGCAGAUAAGAUUGAAAGGCAGAAGCCCAGGUUAGACACUUGAAAGAAUCAUCUAGUCUGCAGGCUAAUUCCAGGACUGAACAAUGGGGCCCCUUCUGUGUCUUUCCUGGACUGGUCCUAGUUCUGGCCUCUGGGGACACGGGAACAUCACAGCGCCCUCUGCCAAGGCUCUGUCCCUUGUCUCCAUCUAAUCUCCUUAGACCCCAUCUCCUGUUCUCCACACAUCACUGCUACACUGAUCCCUAGGGUCUAGCCUCGGAACUCCCCUCCCCAUGUCCAAGCCCCUCCGGCUUUCUCCCUGAGGCAGGAUUGCUCACCUAGAGGCUCUGUUUCUCCCAGCACCUGCUCAUCACAUCUGCACAUCUGGGCUGUCAACUCUUGAGCAGUCAGUAACAUUGUGUGUGGGGUGGACACAGUAGUUGAGGCUGGUUUACUGUCGUCAUGGAAACCCCAGCAGAGUGUGAGGUAAGGCGCUUCAAAGGUUUGGGGUCAAAAUCUGGAGAGCAAAUUCAGAGCUGCACUGUGGCCCCAAGUCUUCGACCCAAACCCAGUAUUUGUAGACAGCCCUUCUGCUUGGCUUCUCAGACCCAGUUCAUCCUGCAUCCUGGGGAUGAGCCCCCAUAUUGGCUCCUGAAAUCUUGGGACGUGUAGUUCCACCCUGGACAGAUGGGGGUGAGAUGGCGAGAGGGAGGCAAGAGCUGGAAGGAGGCAACUGUUGCUGGGUGGGGCUCUCUCGAGCAGGGGCAGCAGGAGGGGACUUCCUGGGAUGGAAUCCCACAUCAGGGAGGGGGAGUGUGAGGUCACAAGAGUCUCACUGUAACCCACCCGGAGUAGGGCUGGGGAUUGGCCAGACAAGCACCAGGGGUUGAUAAAAGGCGGUUGCCUUGGCCUGAGCCCAGCAGAGAGGCUGGACGUGGAGGGAUGGUGUGCUGGUUCCUGCUCCUCCUCCUGGUCCUCUUCACCAUGACCUCCAUCACAUGGUGCUCUCUCCAAGACCCCCACGCCUGCAUCCUCUCCCAGGUGUCAAGACUACGGUCUGCAGCUUUACCCACACUCUCUCCCUCAGCUUCUCUUGGUUCCCCACUGCACUGGGAUUUCCUGAUACUUUGCCUGGCACCAGCCCCUCCAUCCAGCAUCUUUGGCUUAUUAGCUGAUACCCUCCUGUGCAUCCUGUCCACAUGGACACAUAAGAAGCUUCGAGGUCUCAAUGACUAUGAUGGGAUGGCCAUUUGAGUUUCCUGGAUCACUAUGCAGAUGAGAUCUGUGUCCUAUCAGAUGUCAUUUUGAAGAUGUGGCUGAGGAAGAAAUAAGUUACCAAGAACCCGUAUGCAAGGGUACCACAAAGACACAGAAGCCUGCAGAAGCUGCUAGAAAGAAAGGCCCUUGUAAUCCCACGGUAGGGAUAGCACAAGUGGAAAAGCUGCAUGAAGUUCAAGCUUAUUUCUGACCGUAGCAGAUGUUGUGGAUGACACCAUUUCUUCUUUGGAAGCCUAAUAAGCCAGUUUAAAUUUAUUGGCCAGUGUGGACAUGAAUAAUCACAAUAUGUGAAUUUUCGCUUAACUAGCACCAUGGCAAACACUUCUUGCUGCACCUACAAACUCCAGCAAGUAAAAGAGCCUGUGGCCAGGCUGCAUCUCUGUCCCUCCUCCCCAUCUCAUUGUGGUUCCUUCUUUCUGUCUUUAGUUGUAGAAGAUAUUUUCUGCUAGUCUUCAGAUUGUCUUCAUUGAUAGUUGCUCUGUAAGUAGCUGUAUUUUUGGUGCACUUGUGGGAGGAAGUGAGGUUGAGGUCUUCCUAAUCCACCAUUUUAGCUCCUCCUUAGGCUUGUGUUUUGAGCUGCAUGGUUUUCUAUUUUCUCACUGUAAAAGAUUCAGUGUCUUCCUGGUACUGAGUGGCAAUAGCUCAAGGUCAUAAGCAGUGAAUCACAACAGAUUUCAUUGAGUGUUUUCUUGUAGCCUGUGAUUGUUCUCUUCAAUAGCCUGCUGCUGGGUUCUACUUGCUCACUUCACUCUAUCAAAGGGGAAGAAAAGAUUUCUCCAACACUUGGCACUGUGGACAAUUUCUCAGAAGACUUCCAAAAUCUGCUGAUGGCUGCGGCUCCUCUUUCCCACGUGAUGGGGGACUCUCGGGCAGGUGCCCCGGGCAGUCUAUAAAUCUUGUGCUGCAGUCCUGGAGAUGCGGUGCCACCCGUGCCAAGCACCAUGGAGCUGGAGUUGGCUCCCCACAUGCUCUGGGACAGUCUGCUCCAUGCCCAGGCCUGCCUCUGCUGGCAGAUCUCAGUGUGGCUCUCCCCUGCCUGGCUCCAACUCGACAGCAGAGCCUGGGGAAGAAAAGCCUUCCAAACUUUAUUUUUAAAUUUUUUAAAAUUUAUUUAUUUUUGGCUGCAUUGGGUCUUCGUUGCUGUGUGCAGGCUUUCUUUAGUUGUGGUGAGUGGGGAUUACUCUUCAUUGCGUUGUGCAGUCUUCUCAUUGCGGUAGCUUCUCUUGUUACACGGGCUCUAGGUGCACAGGCUUCAGUAGUUACGGCACAUGGGCUCAGUAGUUAUGGCUUGUGGGCUCUAGAGCACAGGCUCAGUAGUUGUGGUGUACGGGCAUAGUUGCUCUGCAGCAUGUGGGAUCUUCCCGGACCAGGGAUCGAAACCAUGUCCCCUGUAUUGGCAGGUGGAUUCUUAACCACUGCGCCACCAGGGAAGUCCCAAAGCCUUCCACAUUUUAGAUAAGAUUUUUUAAGCCACCCAAUCAUAGAACUGACUCCACUUCCUGACAGCAUCCACUGCAGAGCAAAGAUUCAAUUCCUUGAACUUUCCCCUAGGCCACCUAACCUCAAGCCCAGAUCCUAUAGUCUAGAAACUUGCUACCUUUAUCUUGCUUUUAAUGAGAGACCCCAAAGUUCUCCAUGGUGUUUCCCCUGUUUUAAUGAGCAAUGUAAUCAACUUGUUCAACCACAGGUCUCUUCCUGGUGGUCACUGGCUGGAGAGCAUUGAUGACGUAGAAUGAAGAACACUUCUAGGGAUACAUCCCUGGAAAUCUGGUUAGAGACACACUUCCAAGGACUGUGGUUUAAACAAAAAUUGAAAUUACCACCAAAGAAGAUAACUUCAAGUCCCAAGGUCAGGUUGUGACCUCCCACUGACUGAACUGCUUAUUUUAGUUUACAGUCAGCCCUCUGUAGUUGUGGGUUUCACAUCUGUGGAGUCAACCAAUCAUGGGUUAAAAAUAUUUGAAAAAAAUUCCAGGAAAUUUUAAAAAGCAAAUCUUGAAUUUGCUGCAUGCUGACAAUUAUUUAUAUAGUAUUUACAUUGUAUUUAAAUACCCUUGAACAAUACAGGCUUGAUAAAUACCUACUAUAGUACUACGGGGAUUUGCAGAUAUGGUGGGGUGACUGUAAAAUUAUACUCAGAUUUUCGACUGUGUGGGUUUUAGUGCCCCUGACCUCUGCAUUUUUCAGGGGUCAACUAUACAAGCCUUUACAUUGUAUUAGGUAUUAUAAAUAAUUUAGAGAUGAUUUAGAGUUUACAAGAGGACAUGUAUACGUUGUAUGCAAGUAUUACACCAUUUUAUACGAGGGACUUGAGCAUCUGUGGUAUUUGGUAACCAUGGGGGUCCCAGAACGAAUCCCCCUGGAAUACCAAGGGAUGACCGUAUUUGCUUAUGCAAAUAGUUAACAUUAACAGUUUAGAAUAUUAUGAUGGAAACCUGGUUAGAGACACACUUUUAAAAAAUAUUUUUACUUAUAAAAGCUUCAUGUGAUUCUGAUGCAGAGCUCAGGUUGGGAAACCCUUGUCUGUGUCAAUGGGACUGAGGUGAGGAGGGUCUGGAUUUCAUUACAACUUUGAAGGAGGUGGUCCUUACAAAAACACUUCACCCACCAUCUCCCUGAGCCCUAGGAUAGUGCCUUGGGGUUAGAUGGGACCCCUAAGGCUCAGAGAAAUCAUUUGCUCUAAAUCAGAGUAGUUGGUAAAUCAUAGUAAAAAUGAAAAGAACUAGCAUAUACCUAGCACUUACGGUACUGAACAUUGUUCUGAAUCUUUGGGACUUUAACCUCACAGCAACCCAGAGGCAGGUCCUGUUCCUGGCAUGAAUUACCAAGGAGAAGACUGAUUUACAGAGAGAUGCACGAAACUUGCCCCAGGUCGCUGAGCUGGGAGGCAGUACCAGGCAUCAAACUGGGGCACUCGUGUCCAGGGUCCACUGACUUACACACCACAGUCCUCAUCCCAGCGAGACGCUGGCCCUUCCCUCUCCUUCCACAGACAGCGCUUUCAGCUUGGCUCACACUCAGCUCCUCUCUUGCAUUCUGUUCUCGGGAAGCAGCAGGACACGGUGAGGGCAGUGAGUGGCAUGGGAAAUUGUCCCGUUCAGCCUCAGCAAAGUCUCCUUCAAAACGUGACGUUUCUCCUGGAUGCCAAAUUCUCUUUCACACAGAGUUCCGAGAGGAGAGCAAGGCUGAAGGCAAAGGUGACUUGCAGACCUGAUUUGUUGCUGGUGGAGCCUGAAGCUGCUGUGAACCUAACUGAGUUUCUCACCCACUUAUCGAUAUGCCCCCAGGGGAAGCGGAACAAGCCGCCUACUUUCCUCCUCCGCCCAUGGAAGUUACCCUGGGGUUGAUUCCUGGACUGUGUCAGCAGAAGCUCAUUCCCCUGUGGUUUUUAGAGUUUUCCGAGGCCCUGAGCCCCCAGUGGAAGAUGCACGAAUAGUGCCGUGACUAUUCAUAAGCCAUCAGCAUCCUAACAACAUAUUUUUCUCCGUAAAACAGUGAUUUUUCAGAGAAAAAUUGAUACCACAUGUAACCAAAAUCCAGUCCUCACUGCCAUCUCCUCCCUUUCCUCGGAGUUGAUCAUGAUUUUGACGGUAUGCCUCCUAGAGCAUGGCAUUUGAAUACCUUUUUACACAACUCUGUCCUGUAAAUAUACCAACGUGUCUCCCGUUUUACAGGCAUGCACAUCAAAGACCUCACAUUUCCUGUCCUUCCCAGGCCUACUUUUCUCAGGAUGCCCCACCUCUGUGGGUAUUUUAUCCCCACAGAUCAGCUCCAGGAAAGGGUGGAGAAUGUUUCCUUUGGAUUGUAUUUUCCAAUAUUUUGCAAGCAUUGCAGCUCAUUUGUAUGGAAAUUACUGGUUGCCAUCACUCUGGCGGCCCGAGGGCACAGCAAGAGGCAAGCAGAGGCCUGAGCUGCUUGUCCUCAUGGAGGGGCGGGAGCCCAGGAUGCCUCUGGCCACUGCUAGACUUCUUGCAACAGGCUGCAUUUCUCGGGAGGAAACAGGCCUGGGCAGCAGAGACACUUUCUCAAGGUCUCACACUGUCUCAGCGGAACAGGUCUCAGAGCGCCUGGCUCCUGACGCCUGGCCCAGGGCUCCCUGCACCGACUUUGAUGUUGGGGCCUAGGCCAGAGACAGCAGCACUUGUUUCUUUUCUUUUUUUAAAUUGAAGUAUAGGUGAUUUACAAUGUUGUGUUAGUUUCAGGUGAACAGGCAAGUGAUUUAAAGUAUAUAUCCUCUUUUAUAGAUUCUUUUCCAUUUCAGGUUAUUACAAGAUAUUGAAUCUAGUUCCCUGUGCUAUACAGCAGGUCCUUAUUGUUUAUUUUGUAUAUAGUAAUGUGUAUAUGUUAAUCCCAAACUCCUAAUUUACCCCUCCUCCACUUUUCCCUUUGGUAACUGUAAGUUUGUUUUCUAUGCCUGAGUCUAUUUCUGUUUUGUAAAUAAGUUCAUUUGUAUCAUUUUAAAAAUAUUCCACAUAUAGGUGAUACAUAUGGCAUUUGUCUUUCUCUUUCUGAUUUACUUCACUUAGUAUGAUAAUCUCUAAAUCCAUCCAGGUUGCUGCAAAUGGCAUUAUUUCAUUCCUUUUUAUGGCUGAGUAGUAUUCCAUUGUGUACACACCACAUCUUCUCUACCCAUUCCUCUGUGGAUUGAUACUUGGGUUGCUUCCAUGUCUAGGCUCUUGUGAAUAGUGCUGCUGCUAUGAACAUAGGGGUGCAUGUAUUUUUUUCAAAUUAGAGUUUUCAUCUUUUGGGGAUAUAUGCCCAGGAGUGGAAUUGCUGGAUCAUAUGGUAACUCUAUUUUUAAUUUUUUGAGGAACCUCCAUACUGUUUUCCAUAGUGGCUGUGUCAAUUUACAUUCAAGGGUUCCCUUUUCUCCACACCCUGUCCAGCAUUUAUUAUUUAUAGACUUUCUGAUGAGGGCCAUUUUAACUGGUGUGAGUUGGUACCUUAUCUUGGUUUUGAUUUACAUUUCUCUAAUAAUUAGCGAUGUUGAGCAUCUUUUCACGUGCCUGUUGGCCAUCUGGAUGUCUUCUUUAGAGAAAUGUCUAUUUAGGUCUCCUCUUCCUCCAGCAAAAGGCAGCAGGUAAGUUGGUGGUUUCCUUGUUCGGCUUCACAGAAUCUCUUUAGCCCUCCCUUGGGGACACAACUGGACCGUUUUCUCACCCAGACCCUGGCAGACAGGCAAGUGUCCGAAGUUCAGGUUCUUCACUCCAGGCCCUAGAAUUCAGCCCAAAUUAUUGAUCUCAGCCAUGAGCAUUGCGUUCAAGGAAGGUAGACGCUCCUCAUACCCAGGGCAAAGAAAAGCUGCAUUUUUCUUUGCUUGUUUUAGCCUUUUCUGUGAUGUGGCAAUAAUGUGAUUCUAGGAGCUCCUGCAGGCAUCUCGCACAAACAGGGAAGGUUCUGUUGACACUUUGGGGGGGGGGGGGGGAACGGGAGACAAGAGGGAAAGCCAUUUUCAUUCGCAAGCGCAUUGCGGAGAUGCUGAGCCCACCCUGGAGUCGCCUCCGCGCACCUGUUUGGAGGCAGGCGCAGGGCGUCCUCCCCGCGGGUCAGGGCAAGGGGUCCCCUGCCUGCGCAGGAAGCGCGGCGAAUGCGCUCCACCGCCCCUUGGCCUCCGGGCUCGGGAAGCCUUGGGAAGGAAGGGCGGCUCCUCCGGAGGCUGCAAACUGAGGAGGGCAGAGGCUCUUUGAAGAGCGCAGAGUUCAAGGCAAUGGUGGUAGUUUACUUAUUGUCCUGAUCCAGAGGUGCUUCAUCUGCUCUGUGUCAAAAAGCAAAAUGAAGAUGAAGGGAAGGGAAAGGAAAGGAAGGAAGAGUCGGUUAAGGCGCCGAAAAAAUGCAGACAAUUGGCUAAGCUUAGCCUGACACCUUGUGGCUGAGCCAGAAAAAGGAGGUUCACUAAGAAAUUAAUGGUGUAGUUGGGGCAUCUCUCUCUCUGUGUGUGUGUGUGUGUGUGUGUGUGUGUGUGUGUAUGCGUGUGUUGACAGGGGAGGCAUGAGUUCUGAGAACAUGAAACUUGAACCUUUUAAAUUUCACCUUCAUUUUUCUCCAUUUCUCUUUUUUAUUAGAUGUCAUACUUCUUCAAUAGUCUUUUUCAGUAUAGCUAUAAGAAAGAUAAUAUUUUAAGUGUAAUGACUACACACAAACUUACUUCUGGCUAAUGAUGAAUAAUUAUUAUGAGUAAUUCUGCUUCAGAUGAAUAAGCUGUUACAUGAUAUCAACUGAUGACUCCUUCCUUUAAAUGGUCAAUACAAUGCAAUAGACUUGAAUGAUUCAUGUUGUUUUCUAACUAGAAGUUUAAAAAAUAUGCCUCACGCAUAACCUUCUCUAUGGGUAGGAUGUGUCUGCAUUUUACCUCGUGGAGGUCAAGUGAUGCCUGAGGUCGCAUAGCCAGCAAGUGGCAGAGGUGGCCUUGACCCCAGAUCCCACAGACCCUGGAGCCCAGAGUGGAGCUAAUGGCUAUCACUUCCUUCUAAUGGGAACAUUUGCAUUAUAAUAGAUAUGGAACUUCUGAACACAGAAAGCCUUUGGGAUAAAAGGAUCAUGUCAGACUGCAAGAAAUAUAUGAGCUCUCUAUUGGUUGGUGGCAAAUAGAAGAAGUGCUCUAGGCCUCCAAGUGAAGAUAGCAAAAUAUAGCCCACAAGGGCGCUGUAAGGUUAAAAUAAGACUUACUUGAUCCAGUGCUUCUGAAGUUGAUGAAAUAGAGUUUGUUAGUUACCAAGUUUGGUUCUGUUACAUGCAGGCAUGUUGGGAAAUGUGCCACAAUUACUUUUUGUGUAUUUUGUAUUAAUGAAUUUUGUAUCUCAUGAGAUUAGCAUUUUGAAAUAAAUGAGCAUGCUUUUUGAUUCUAUGUUUCUGUGUGUAUGACUUCUUCUUCCUCUUCCUCCUUUUCCUAAGGGAGUUUUGCUUUUGGUCUCUUGCUUUUUUCUCCUUUUUUUCUUCAAAGCAGGGGAAUGAAUAGAUUUCGGGGUAGGGGAGUAAGGAAAACAGAAUAGGAUUAGUAUUCUUAUAGCAAAUAUUUAAAGAGAAAAAAUAUUCAGCUCUUGACAUGAAAUCCAGGGUCCCCCUCACCCUUCCCACUAGGCAAGAAUCUUGAAAACCAGGAUUUUGAAGGCCAGAAAGUAUUUUCUAACUUUGAAGGAAUCUGAUUUUCUUCCAAAGUAAAGAAGAUACCCAUUUUGUUACAACCACUGGGAUAGUGAAGAGGAAAAUUAGAACCUUGAACUCAGCUAAAAAUAACUCCAUGCUUGUUCUGCUUCUGUAAAAUAUGCUUGCUGCAAAGGAAAAAC